rnacentral:rRNA from 1 species
AGCUUGCUAAAUGGACUCAUGGCGGACGGGUGAGUAACGCGUAAAGAACUUGCCCUUUAGACUGGGAUAACAGAGGGAAACUUCCGAUAAUACUGGAUAAGUUAGUAUAUCGCAUGAUAUGCAAAUGAAAGCUACGGCACUAAAGGAGAGCUUUGCGUCCUAUUAGCUAGUUGGUAAGGUAAGAGCUUACCAAGGCGAUGAUAGGUAGCCGGCCUGAGAGGGUGGACGGCCACAAGGGGACUGAGAUACGGCCCUUACUCCUACGGGAGGCAGCAGUGGGGAAUAUUGGACAAUGGAGGGAACUCUGAUCCAGCAAUUCUGUGUGUGUGAAGAAGGUUUUAGGACUGUAAAACACUUUUAGUAGGGAAGAAAAAAAUGACGGUACCUACAGAAGAAGCAACGGCUAAAUACGUGCCAGCAGCCGCGGUAAUACGUAUGUUGCGAGCGUUAUCCGGAAUUAUUGGGCUUAAAGGGCAUCUAGGCGGUAAGACAAGUUGAAGGUGAAAACCUGUGGCUCAACCAUAGGCUUGCCUACAAAACUGUUGAGCUAGAGUACUGGAAAGGUGGGUGGAACUACACGAGUAGAGGUGAAAUUCGUAGAUAUGUGUAGGAAUGCCGAUGAUGAAGAUAACUCACUGGACAGAAACUGACGCUGAAGUGCGAAAGCUAGGGGA